AUUGAACGCUGGCGGCGUGCUUAACACAUGCAAGUCGAACAAUGAAGCCCAGCUUGCUGGGUGGAUUAGUGGCGAACGGGUGAGUAACACGUGAGUAACCUGCCCUUGACUCUGGGAUAAGCGCUGGAAACGGCGUCUAAUACCGGAUACGAGCUUCCACCGCAUGGUGAGUUGCUGGAAAGAAUUUCGGUCAAGGAUGGACUCGCGGCCUAUCAGGUAGUUGGUGAGGUAACGGCUCACCAAGCCGACGACGGGUAGCCGGCCUGAGAGGGUGACCGGCCACACUGGGACUGAGACACGGCCCAGACUCCUACGGGAGGCAGCAGUGGGGAAUAUUGCACAAUGGGCGCAAGCCUGAUGCAGCAACGCCGCGUGAGGGACGAAGGCCUUCGGGUCGUAAACCUCUUUUAGCAGGGAAGAAGCGAAAGUGACGGUACCUGCAGAAAAAGCACCGGCUAACUACGUG
rnacentral:rRNA from 1 species